rnacentral:tRNA from 1 species
GGCGGGUAGGAACGCUGGCGCGUUCGGUGGCCUCAUAAACCACUUGAGGCGGGUUCGAUUCCCGCACCCGCUA